CAGAACUGUGGAGUCCGGACAAGAGUCCUGCUUGCUGAAAGCAAGGUUGGAUAUGAGCUAAAUCUGAGUGGAAGAACUUGGGUUUUGCUGGAGAGAGGGAGAUUGUGUGUAUGGAGCACUCUAGGGAGAGCACAUGGAGUUGGGAAUGUAACUUGUUUCAUUUUUUGUUAUUAAGCAGUUAACUUUAUAUUAUAGAUGUAGGCAGAGAGAGGAAGUCCCCCGUGUCCAGGAGCUAUCUGAAGCAAUGGAAAUGCACUUGUGUUAGACAGGAUGCUUGAUACUGCAGUGCUUCAAGAAUAAUGUUACAUUCCUGUGCUAAAGCAGCAAGUGGAACAUCAGGAACAGUCAGCCAGCUCUCAGAAAGUUCGUAGAGACUUUAUCGCAAGAAGAAAGCAUCAAUUAGACUUGGUUUACUGCAGUAAGUGAUACAUUUGGCAAGGAAACGAAUUCACAGCACCGGAGCGAACAGGCUGGGCAGCCCUCUGCCCCGGGCACGGCGCGUUGUCAGAGCUGAGCUGGCUGUCUCAAGGCUGGAGAAAACAAACAGGGAAACACAUGUCAAAGAGAUAAAUAGCUCUGCUGCUCUGAGCUCUCCGUGGAGGCCAUUCGUCUCCAAGAUAAGGAAGAAUGCACUCCAAAGCUGAAAAGAUAAGUCAAAAGCCACAAUAUGAUUCAGCACGGCCUUUGGAGGAUGCUCGAGGACAAGAACAAAGCUAUGCACCUCGGGUGAGGAGCAUGAGUUCAGUGUGGGGAGCCAGCAUGUACCUUAACCAGUGAUGCAGGCAAGUGAAUGCUCAGCAAGCAGCUUGGUCGGAGGUGGCAGCUCCUCGAAGCGUGAGUUUUGCAGCCUUCAGCUGUGCUGCUCGGACUGCAGUCAGCAGCGAGGACCACAGAUGGAACAAUAGCAGUGGUAGGAUAAUGGACCUGCUGACUGCUGCCAACAGCUGGAGCAGGGAACUCAUCACAUCCUCUGGGUCCACCUGGCUGGGGGUACUGAGCACCAAGAGACACGUGGCGCGCUGAGGAGCGAUGCUCGGGGAAUGUCACGUGAUGGGAACAACGUGCUUGGAAGGAGAAUGGCUGCCGAGGGUCAAGUCCUGGUGCGUGUCCUUCCCUGCCCCAGUGCUUCUUGGUGUGCUGCUGCACUCACAGCAGUGCUGCAGGGCUCUGUGUGCUGUGUGCAGGCUGCCUUCCAUCCGUGUGGUGCGUUCUAACUUGGCUGUAACAGGCAGAUUGCUCUGGAGGAUUUAGCCCUGUAAUUAAUUUAGGAAUUAAGUUGUCUGAAAUAGUCACGUAGCUGAGAGCGCAAGAGGCAGUUGGGGGGGUUUUUGGCCCAUCCUUCUGUUGCUGCUGUCCCUUGGCCUGGCCAACUGCUCUGCCCCCAGCUGUGGCACAGGGGUGGGCAGAAAGUGCAAUGGAGCUCUGUCAGACACAGCCACAGAGGGCCAGGAGGGGGGGGUAAGGGUGAGUGGAACAGUGUUGUCUGGCAGCUGAGUGAAGUCUUUAUUCCAGAAGACAGCGAUGCUAAUGUGGUUAUGCUAGAAGGCUGUGCUCCUCUGGGGUUUGAGUUACGAAUAAUUACCCUGAUACAUGUUUCUUGAAACUGUUUUCUGUUGCCGAAAUCAGCUUGUGGAGCCUUAACGCUGUGCUCGUAACGACCCUAAUGAAAAGUCUUACAUUGAGCUUUUCCCAUUAACUGUAAAGCCGGUUGGGCACCAACAAACAUCUGAGCUGUGCAGGUGGCAGAUGGAACAUGCAUGUACGUGUGUGUGUGUGAAUCAGUUUGUUUCUCCAAGUGGCUAAAAACAAAAGUCUGAGGAGCUCCUGCUGCAAGGUGAUGUUCCUGGAUGCUGCUCAGCUCACGGCCGUGCUGGCUGCUGCUCGUGUGAAUGGCCGCCUCUCACUGUGCUUGGAGCUGAGGUGAGCACUGAGCUGCCGUGGCACAACCCAACCCACCUUUAGCAGGCGCUCCUGGCCACUGAACUCAGCUGCUGAGAGCAUUUGUGCAGUUGACUGUUGAUAAUUGGGGUUGGGUGUGUGUUCCUACCCACUUUGCGUUGCUAACGCUCCAACUUGUGCCUUAAAUCCAAGGAAGCAGACCAAGUCCCAGACCAGUCCUUUGAAUCAGCUGGGAUUUGACAGUGAUGAGAAGAUACCUUUGCUGGUACGGUGGAGCCUGUUUGCAUGCCCAUGUUGUGAGGGUGGGUACACCAGAACUGCUGCAGCACAGGUGCAACGGUGAUGCCUUGGGUGCCUCUGCUGUCAGUGCCAUGAUAUAAAUGUUUGGUGGAUAUUUUAUGGAUCAGGGAGAGCAGGCUGAAUGACUGACAGCUGUGGGAAGACAUAAGUACCUGCUGACAUUCAACACUGGAAAUGUGGUUUGAGUGCGGAACUGACCGCUGCAAUUAGAAGCCACGUGGUGAGCAGACGUGAACUCAGGGGAGGUGUUACAUUGCUGUAAUGCAAGUGUGAGGCAAGGCAGAAGCAGGUGCACAGAACACAGGGGAUGUGUUUAACCCACCCCAAGAAUGCAACAGGCAUGCGGUGCCGCACCAAGCAGCGGCUGUUGUCUGCUUGGCUUCAGGCCCUGCGACACAGAGGAUGCUUUUUGGUGCUGUGAGCUGAGAGAGAGCUGCCUGCAGGGACGUGGGCGUUGUGCUUGGGGUGGCUGUUUGGGCUGCUGGUCGCUUGUCCCCUAACCUCGUGUCCUUAUGGCACCCUGGCAUCGCAAUUUUGACAGAACAAGAAGCUGAGGACACUGUGUAGGUGGGAGCAGUUCUCCCAUUCACAUCAUUUGCUGUUGAAGCUGCAUAUUGCUUUAGGGAGAAUUGGCAGGAUUUGGCUUCAAUGUAAUUAAAAAACAAAAUACAAAGCUGCCCACCUGCAGCGCUCGACGAGGAUCUCAUGGAAGCAUUUCCCAGGUCACCAGCCUGCUCCUGCACUCCACCCUCGACCCCAGCAGCCCUGGCAGUUUGCUGCCUGUGACGGGUGUGUGGGUGUCCCUCGCUGAAAGGUGAACUGGAAAACAGAGUUUCAGUCCGUUUCAAUCUGGUGGUGCUCACUGUGAGUUCUGGUUCUCUUUCUCUGUUGCGUUUCCCCAUUGCUACAACAAUUAAUUAAGAACGGUUCUGCUGAAGCCUGUUGAUUAAUUUGGCACUUGGAAGCUUAAUGAGGUGUAAACCCGCAGCCUGCUGCUGACGCGGUGAUUUAUAUCAAUUGGUGUGAUUAGCACAGGUCCUCAAUCACCGCCGUGUUCCUCCCUGCGAUCCGUCACAGCCCCAAUGGGGAACCUCAGUGCUGCGUUUCUGUUCCGUGGUGCUGCUGACAAGGAAAGUACAACCGGUGGCGUGCCUCAAGGACAGCAACGCCCAAAUUGCUCCAGAGAUGAGUGAGAGGCAGCCCUGCUGGGUGUACAACCGCCCCAGCUGGGCGCUGGGAGGGUUUCUUUCGAGAGGCAGCAAGCACCUGGCUGGCUCCCGUUGCUGCAGACUGUUGGCAGCCCACGGUGCGUGGCUGUGAAAUCCCUGUGGGUUGCUGCACUUGCUGUGCUGUGAUGGUUCGUUAGCAACGUGUGCUGCUGCAACAUCAACCCAGGGGUGCAGGAGCUGCCUGUGGUCUCUUCUCCCUUCCAUCGUAGAAUUAUAGAAUGGUUUAGGCUCGAAAGGACCUUUUAAGGUCAUCUAGUUCCAACCCACUGCUAUAGGUGGGGAUGCCUCCUACUAGGUCAGGUUGCUCAGACCCCCACCCAGCCUGGCCUUGAACACCUCUAGGGAGGGGGCAUCCACAGCCUCUCUGGGCAACCCGUGCCAGUGCAUCACCACCCUCACAGUAAAGAAUUGCUUCUAUCAACCCUGUGCAGCAGUCAAGUGAGGGCUGUGAGUUCUCUGCUCCCUGAUGAUGCCAGCAUCCUGCUAACUCCAUGUUCUAACAGAAAUGCAACUGCUCAGGGCUUUGGAACACCUUUGCUUAGGUACGAUGAGAAGAAGUGCUCUCACUGGCAUAAAAACAUAAACCCACAGCUCUAUAUCUGCUGCUCAGAAAUGGUGGAUUUAUUGGAUAGACGUUCACAUGCGUGGUGCUGGUGCACAGGCCCCAGCUGUGCCCUGGAGCUGGAGCAGCAUGAGGGCAACGAGCAUGCAUCAGUCCUGCUCAUGUGGUUCAAAAUGGCUUGAGCUCACGCAGUGUAGAAUGGUACCACUGCAUUUCUGGGGGCUCUGAUUGCUGGGGGGGAAAAAAACAACAACAAAACCAAUGCUGAAACCAGAAACAUCCAAUUAAGCUGCACCAAAAUAAACUGACCUUAAAGCGUUACCUUAAAGUGGAAUAAACAGGUCAAAUGGGUAAAUCUAAAACCUGCUGCAGCCAAGGUACAGACCUCUCCUAUAUUCACAGAACCAGAAGGCAGCUUUGCUGUCGAUUCUUACGGCAAAGAACACGUGUGCUGUGUUCUUUUAUUCAGUGUUACGCUUUUAAGUUGAGCAGUGAGGCAUGGACAGGCCCAUUUCUGUACCGUGACAGUUGUGUAAACCAAUUGUAACAGCCUUUCUACUUCCAGAGCAAAGAGUCCUUCGAGUAAAUGAGUGUUUGACCCGUAGCCACUGGGAGCAGCAUUUGCUCUGGGGCCCAUCAAAGCCCUGUGUGGAGAAAUAUAAUUUAUUUUAAUGAUAUUUAAACUAAUGAGCUUGGCUAAUAGAUAUUUUUGAAGCCCUUUAUGGGGGUUCAGCUAUGGGACAACAUGCCACUGGGCACAAAUGCUCAUUUACCCAGCAUGAUACCAGAGAGCGGGCUGCUUAUUAGUAAAGUAUUUGUGUUUUUUUUUAAAGAAUCCAUUUCCAUAAAUUACCAGUAAGAAAUUAAUGAAGCAGCUGCACGCAGGGAUGCUCAGGGUGUGCAAAGCUGGGAUGCUCCUGGCCCCACACUCCCAGACCUGUGCUGCUGCUUUGCCCUCGGCCUGGCUGGGAGCUGCGUGGCACAGCUGCUGCCUGCACGCUCUGUGUGUGUUGGUGUAAGGGCAGGGCAGGAGUUCUUGGCACCGGUGCAUCCAUGGCCAGAUCAAACUGUUCACAUUCCCAGCACUCAGGGCUGGGGAGGGGAAGCUCUUGCAAUAACAUCAUUGCAUCAAGGAAUAUGGGAAGGAGGCAGAGCUUGGAAGAGCCAUUUGCCUGCCCGGAGGCAGGAUUAUCCACAUCAAACCAUCACCAGCAGCUGCUUGUUUAGCCCGUCCUCGUGCGCUGCCAGCGCUGGAGAUCACACAGCAUCUCAUUGCCGUGAGUUUCAUUGCAGCCGGUGGCACGGACAUGUCAGUGCAUACUUGGCAGGGAGCAGGGCCAGAUCCUUUCUCCUCUUGAGCAGCAGCGAGGUGAGGCUCCUUUACACUGCAGCACCACGGGGCUGCUCCGUGGGCACAGCCUGCUGGUACCAGCAGCCCGGCUGCGCAGCGAGCAGAUGAAGGAUUACGGUGAUCAAUUUGGUGAGAAGGGAGAUUUUUCUCCGUCUGUCCACCCUCAAGGCUCUAUUUCCUCAUAAACCAUUCCCAGAGACAUCAAGAAAAUUGAAGCUGUUCAGAAAUGGAAAAGAUAGUUAGCCCAAAAUGAAUGAAUAUCCAAUACACCGGCUGACUUUCAUGAAACAUAACGGGAGCAGCCAGCUGAACCGAUGGCUUUCCUGCAGCAUGCUGAUUUUUUUUUUAAAGCAGGAAAGCGCUUUUGUGGCAUGGUACUUGCAGCAGUGAUGCUCAGCUCCACGUUGCACUGCCUGGUGAAGGUCCCAGUGAUGUGCUGGGUGUGGGCUGGCAUCCAGCACCAAACCUUGGCCCUGCUGCAUGUCCUGGCCCUGCUGUUUGUGCUCAUUAGCAGAGCCUGCGGGUGGAGGACUGGUGCUGGCCGGCCUCGGCUGCUGCAGUUGCCUAAUGCAGCAUCCCGGCUCCCAAGCCCUGGGGCUUUCUGUUCAUUUAGUAGCCUAAUGUAAUGCAUUCUGAUUUUUUUUUUUUUAAUUUAAGGGAACAGCAAAAGAUGAAGAAGAGAAGAUAUUGUAGAGGGUGUCUGUGAAGCUGUCACACCCCGUGUUCACGUGUCCUUGGCUCCAUUGAUACUGCAGCUGGAUUUCUGUUGGAGCUGCAGGGCAGCCCUCAGCCCCCUCCUCACCCCGUGCAGCCAGGGAUGCUCCAGAGCCCUGGGGAACAGAGGUGCUGCAUUCAUUUGGGUUUUGCCUGAAGCCGCCUUUCUGCCAGAAGAGCUUCCCCUGGCCUUUGUCCACCGAAGUCCAGGCUGUGGUGGGGAGGACAGAGCUGCACCCUAAAAUAAUUGGGGUCCUCCCAGGUAGAGCCUGGCCCAGACAUACUGCAGUGUGAGAGCCCGGCACCCAGCACUCCUCCUGCUAGCUGUCAGAAGGUACUAUUAGUGUCACACAGGUCUCAGAACUUCUUGCUGUUGUUGUUGUUUCCUCUAGUUUGGUUCAAGAAUGUUGCUGAGUGUGAGAAAACAGGAAGCGGUGUCAAUAGCAGUGUGUUUUUCCUUUUCACAGACACCCUUUGAACUCCCUUUAUUCUGCCUCUCCUCCCGUUACACUUGCACACCCUAUAACGAACCUCGUGGUGCUUCCAAAUGCUUUUACUAAGACAAAAAAAGGUGUGUGAUUUUUUCAAGUCCAGUCUUAUUUUCUUCAUUAUCUGGAGACAGCCUUCAGAAUAAUGAUUACAAAUGGCUUUAGCUUCUAAUGUGCUCUAAUCAACCAGGAGGGCAGAGAAUGAAGCCAGCAGGAGCUGGGAGGGUGCCGAUGGCUGUGAUGUGUCCCCUGCCCUCCUCACAGCGUCCCUAUGGGUGACAGGUCCAGCAGAACCACCAGGAGUCCUUAGCAUGCAGGAGGGGACCUGUGCCCUGUCCUCUGCAGGCUGUGUGCCUGGGGAAGCCCAGCACCACCUGCCCUCCUGGGAGGGGUAUUUCUGGGACAGGUACUUUUUCUUUGGUUGCUCUGUUGGUUUUUUUAGGCUUUACUGCAGUAACCCCGUGGGUUCUCCUGAUUUGCUCUGGUGUGCAUUGGAAAACAUUCAGGUCUUCCAAAACAGUUCCCUGGUGCAGGUGGUACGUGCCCUCCCUUCCCUGCAACAGAAAUACAACAGAUCCCAUAUUAAGGCUUUGGGACAGCCCUGCUCCAGGUGGCCUCGAUUACUAUUGUUGUUCAUCCUUCACGUUGCAGUGAAUCAGUGAUGGAACAACCCUCAGGGUGUUUAUUGAGCCGCAUUUCUCUCCCUUGGCAGUUUUCUGAUAUCAGACUAAGGCUGCUGUCCCUGAGGCUGUGGCUUAAAGAACUGCUUGGAAAAAGUUUUGUCGUGUCCCCUGGAGUCAAAGCACUGAAAAACCACCCAGCGAGCACCAUUAGCACAGCACUUAAUGAUGGCAGAUGAGGCUUUCUGGAAGCUUAAUGAACCAGGAGGUGAGACCACUCCCACCAGCCUUGCAGCCUAACGAAGGAUUUAUCUCUGCCUCUUGUUAUCUCACUGAAUGAUGAAAGCUGCACUCACCACCAUCCAUCUUCAGCGUUCUGUGGCCAGGCUCUGACUGCAGCCCCUGGGCCCCACCGGGGGGACAGGGCUGGGGCUGUCUUUCUGGAUGUCACUGCUGCAGCUUCUGCUGAGGUGUAGUGCCACCCUCAGACAAACUGUCUGCUGUCCCAGCCCCUGAUUUCUAGUGGAAAUUGAAGGGUUGGUGUCAGGACGUUCCUUACCAAGGGUCUGAGCCGCUCGUGACCUCCACUGACCCAUCUUGGCAGCGGAGUAAGCCACCAGCUUCUGCAUGAAGCUGAAGAUGUUGGGGAAAAUGGCAUCAACUCAACCCCCUACUCCUCCUGCUCCUGGGAGUAUCUAUAAAUACCUCGUUGUGUUAGUGGGGAUGGUGCAUUUUGCAGGAGGAAUUUUUGAAGCAGCCCGGUGGCAGCCUGGCAGGUCAUUUUCUAUUCCACGUGUGGCUUUUGCAGCAGUGUGCGAGCGAUGAAGGGCAUUAGCUAAAUAAGAGAUGAUUUAGUGGUGAUGGCACUGCUGGGCCGCGGAUCCCACAGCUGCUAAAUUUCAAUAUAAGCUCCAUAACUCUGGAUGCAGAGAGAAGUGAACGUGCACAAGAGACUGUUUCUGAAUAUAUUUUCCCCCCUCACUCCAAUAAAAGGCGCAAAUAAUAGCAUAUUUUUCAAAGUGCAAAGCACUUUACAUUGCAAAUAGUUACAUUAAAUUUACAUUUCAUGGGUGAGUGGCUGUAGCUGCUGCUUGCCACAUCCUUGCCCGUGACACGACAGCAGUUGCAGAUGAUCUACACCCGCCUGGGCUGACCGUGCCUGGAUUUCCUGGGCCCGAGGCUGAUGGCUGAGUCCUGCCACAGCAGCAGCAAGCCUGCAGUUUCUGGGUGCUUCCUCCAUAAAGGUCAAUGCACUCGGCUCUGCCUGUUGUCUCCAGAGAUAAUCAAUGCAAUGCAAGCGCUCUGUUGACACUUAUGGCCACCACGGAAAACUCAUUUUCAGCCUUUAGGACUGGGUCUGUAGAACCAUUCUAAUAAGCUCCAGUGGGAGCUCGCAGGUUGGAGCCGUUCUGGCAACCUGAUGGCCUUCCCCUCCAGCACUGGAAGGUGCUGACCAAGGCAGAAGAGCUGCGGGGGCAGGGAGCAGCUGGCACGUUGCAGGACAGGUGGUGCUGGGAGCUCAGUGCCCCUUCGCUGCCUCUCACUACGAUAAGAGCAUUUUUUCCUUUCUCUUAUCUGCAACAGGCUUGAUGACAUUUCUGGUCAGUCCCUAUCGUGACCUUUCCACUCAGCACAUUGUUUUAUGCCUUGUCUGAGGUUCAUUGUUUGCCAUGUAUAUCAGUGUUGGCUUUGGCACCUGCCAGCUCGGGCUAUGUGCAUGAGUCACUCUUUACCUGGCGGGGAUGAUUCCUCCUUAGUCACUGUGCUGCCGUUUUCGCUCCUGGCAGCCUUCAAGUCCUGCCCUGUGUGGGGCUGGCCUGAGCCGCAGUGGGCAGCUCCUCCAUGGGACACUGAGGUGACACGAGCGGCAGCACCGGGGCCCUAUCUCUGGAUGUGCAGCUGUGCCCACACCUCUGUCGCAUGCCCCAGCCAGGGAUAAGUGUUAUUCCCUAUGAGAUUCAUCUUGCCAUGGCUUCAUGGGCUGAAAAGCUGUGAGGGUUUACCAGGCAGUGCAGCAGUGGUGACUUUGCUGGUGCAAAGAUGUAGCUGCAGCCCUGCACGCGGCUGCCUUCUGCCCUUCUGUGCUUAUUGGCAGGCUCCUGGGAGAGACCUCCUGCUUCACGGCUGCUGGCUGCCUGUUCCCUGUGAGCGGUGGCGUGGUGACACGCAGCCAUGCACUGCAACACGGAGCUGUGCACUGUGGGGCUGACUGCGUGUCAUGGCACAGAGCUGUGCACCGCAGCACGGGGCUGUGCCACGUCUCCGGGCCUGACUCCUGCCCUCAGGAUGUUAGUUUCCAGAAUGGUGCCUCUCUGAAAGCCUCAAGUAGCUCCUUACUAAACUAGUCCAACACAUAAAGCAUUUCACUGUUGUGCAAUUUCCUGGCAAGCCAGCGGGUCCCCUUAGAAAUGCCCCAGCAUCACUUAGGCUGCUCUGUGCAUACUGUCAGCAGCCUGGGAGCCCCAGGCAGGGCUUGGAGCCCCCGGCCCCCACCGCUGUGCCUGAAGGCUGCCUGCCUCCAGCUGCAUGCCCGCGCUCCCCACAGAACCAGUUUUUCUCCUCCAUCUCUGUGUACCCACGGAGCCUUAUGCCCAUGGGGAUGCUGCUGGUUCCUGGCCUGAGAAUGGAGCUGAGCUGGGCCUCAGGCAGAGAGCUGAUGGAGGAAGCCUCCUGUGCUCCAGCCCAGCACCACGGCCACCUCUGCCUGCUCAGCUCCCUAGGGAGGGGGCAUAGAGCUGCAGACAUCAGUGGGCAGCACAGCACUGGGGGUGGCACGGGGCCUUGCAGCCCACGCACCCUCACAUCAGAGCUGGCCCCUUUGCUGCACUGCCCCAGCGAGAGGGGCAAAGUCUGUGGCCCCACGGGGCCUGGGGCAAAGUCUGCCGUGGCCUCGAGCUCUCUGCUGACUCGGUGCACUUUGCACCCACAGCCAGCGGGGAGGACCCGUGCCCCACACGUGACACUUUUCCAUCCACAGCUGUGUUUUUUGAAAUGGGCGCUUCGGGUUGGGCUGAUGCCAAGGCGUGGGAUCGCUCUCUGUAUUUCUAAAGGAGAGCUGCUCACAGGACCUUAUUUGCGAAGCAGGCUGGGGCUGCCCAGGAAGCUUGGGAUGGAUUCGGUGCAGCUGCGUUGCCUGUGCCGAGCGAGAGCAUCGCGCUCCCUCAGCAGCCUGAGCACGGCUGGGAGGAUUUCCUUCCCCUGCAGCUCUUGUUAAUGAAGAUUGGCUUAGCAGGGGGCGGCUCUUCGGGAUUUGGCGCUUCCUAUGCUACAUGCACAAGGAGGUACAAUCUGUUGGCAGACCUUCCCCCAGAAACGCCCUCGAGCCUCAGCUUAAUUCAUCCCAGCUGGGCACUGCGUGCACAUCUCAGCCCCGUUGUGUCUCAGCCCUGUCAUGGCUCAGCUCCAUUGUGUCUCAGCCCCUUCACGCUGGUGGGACCAGCACCAGUGCUCUGUUCUGUGCGCAGAAGAAGUGCGGUACCCGCUCCACCCCUCCACCAAAUCCCGUCUUUCAGCGUGAGCUGUGGACGUGACGCCAGCCAGGCUUUUAUUCAGGAUUCUGGGCAAGAUCUGUAUGUAUUCUGUUGCUUUUCCAGACCCGAAAAUCAAUCUCUUUGCCGUGCCCGUCCCAGAGCCGCUCGCUACAAACAGCUUCCCACGCUGGAGGCUUUGUUGGGACGCUGCACCUCAGGCAGAAAUCAACUGCUUCUCUGUCUGGAGACAGAAGGCAACCAGUUAGCCACACUUCCUUAUUUUUGUUUAAGUGGCCAUCACAUCCUAAUUACAGUUUCUCUUUUUUUAACUACUGUACUCAAUUUACAGCCUAAUUACCCUUACCUUGUUUGUUUAAUGAAGCUUACAUAACGAUUCCUGUGAUCUUCAUGAAACGUUACGCCGGGAUUUUAUUUUUCACUUUAUAAACUGCGAUUUUACAUUAAUGUUUCAUAACCUCAGGUUUCUAAUCAUAAAGUCAUAAGGAGUUUAAUUGAUUUGAAACUAGCCAUGCCCUGAAGUGUGUACAUGUCAGAUUGAUUCAAAUUGAUCCAAUGUGCUUAAAUAAAGCUCGUGCCAGCAGCGCACGGCACCUUCUGCUACCAGAUACUUGCCCAAAGGCCUCUGGAAGCUUAAUUAUGCUGCCAUCUCGGUACCAUCAAUUACUGACUAGGAGACGAUUUCCGGUGGUUUGUUGUAGGUUGCAGGUUUGUUGCAGGCCGGAGCAACGCCCCGGGUGCCCUGGGACCGCAGUGCAGGUGGGCACAGAGCAUCAGCCCCAGCAGAGCUGGUUGGUGCGCUGCCGAGGCUGGCUCUGCCUUGCCAGUGAGACAUGGGAGCUCUGCGAGCAGCAUGCGUCGCUCUCGGGAGAAUAUUUUUUAUCAGUUGGCCCGUAGAAGUUCACCAAGGAGUUUUGCCAGCACCGAUACAUCUCCGACAUCCCUCCGCUGAUCAUAGCAACGCUUUGGUGCGGAUGAAAUCGAAUUUUAAUUUGCUCGCUUUCACACACACAGUUUUAUUUUCCGGGUGUACGUAUGGAGCUUGCACACGAGGACAAGCCUCCUGGGGUCCCGGUGAUGUGUGCCGCCCUGCAGCCGCGUGGCGUGAUGGCAGAGCCUGGUGGGGUCAGGCGCGAGGACGGGGUGCGGGCGGUGGGAUUUAUCUGCGCUGCGGGGCGGGGGGGUCCUUAUCUCCGCAGCGGGCUGAUGGAGCACUGCUCUUUCAAUCUCGAUAAGCAUGCGGGCAGCAUGCAUAAUUCUUGCAGAGGUUUCCUUCCAGCCUAAACAGAGACUCUGCAAUCUUUAUGCUGCUCGGAAGAUAAAAGGUAAUGAGACUCCGUACAUUUCCUGCCCUUGUCUCUUUACCAACCUUUCAAUUGCUUCCAAAAUGCCCUCUUGUAACCUCUCCAUUAGGAAGAGAUUGGAGGGCUGCACGCUGCUCUUACUGCAGGCAGCGCCCAGGGAGAGAGCCCUGCAGAACUGCUGCGGGGUCAGCCCCAGUCAGUGCUGGGGAGCAGCUCGGGCAGCUCCAGCACCCCGAGCCGUGGCAGGAGGCUGUGGCAGCUCACAUGUCUGCACCCACAGAGGCAUUACAGAAACAGCAGUGCGUUGGAAGCACUCGUGUUCCCGAGGUCACGCCGUUGCAUUUUAUCAUUUGAAAGCAACGUGCGCUGCCUUUUGAAACCUGCUGAAGCCCAGCCACACUAGUGCUCUCCUCAAUGUGCAGCGAAGAACAGCUUCUGUUCUUCGUUAAACAGGGAUGCCGUCGGCUUUUAUUUUUGUGGUUCAAAGUUGCUCCCAUCCAUUUUAUUCUUGCUGCUUUGAGCUGCCAGCACUGCGUGGCACAUCUCAUCCACCUUUCAUUCUGCUCUGGCUCUGCUCUACUGUGGUGAUGUCAAAAUCCAGGCUCACCUCCCAGCACCUAUACUGCUUCUAGACCAGAAUGGUGUGAUUCCUAUCCCGUGUUUCUUUAGGUAAAUAAACUACAUAAAGGUGAAAAAAUGGCUGAGCUGCAACCUCUGUUCCAUGCCUUGUGUUCCUUCUGUGUGCACAGUGACCAGGAGAGGAUUGUGCCCUCCUCACUGCUGCAGGAGCCAGGCUCCAGGCGCAGCUCUGCGUGCAUCCAGCUCUCUGCCUGCUCCUGUGCUGUGGAUGCUCGGAGCAUUCCCACACCUGGGAGCAGCAGGGCACACUGCUGCUGGUGGUUCUGGGUCACGUCGGUGCUCCGUGUCUGCUCAGGGCCAGCCUGCCCCUCACUGUGUCAGCCUGCUCCUCCCAAGGCAUUGCAAUGCAGCGAGCCACGUGCCAGCACAUCACCAAAUGGCCAUUGAUUUCCCAGCAAGGCGUCUGAGCCGCAGGCAGAGCGCUGCUCUUCAGCCCGGCUGCGUGCUGCGAGAAAUCGGUGAGGUAGAAUCUGAAGACCCGGCGUGCCCGGCUGACCCCACAAAGGGCAGCAGCAGGCGGCGGUACGGUGUGUGUGUAUGAUGACAAGUGAACGCCUCGGGCUCUGUGCCAGCACAGCAGCACGCCAGCUUGCUUCUAUAUGGGUCCAUGCCAGCAUCCCUGUGCUCAGCCGGGGCAUGGAGCCCGCAGCACGCAGCCGGGUCGGGCUGCAGAGGUUGGAGCCCCCUGAGCUGCUCAGCAUCAGCCCCUGCCCUGCUGUGGUGGCUGCUCCGUGCUUCGUUUGGUGACCCAAGGGUUUAGGAUCUGAGAUGGGUAAUGGCUCUGCUUGGCUAAUUCAGCUGGUGGGAGGGGAAAGGAUGUGGGCUUGCUCCCAGAGCCCAGUUUCAGACCUCACAAACCACGCUCCAUAGCUGGCAUCUCCUCAGGCAGCGAGCAGCGUCCCAUGGAAGCGGGGAGCUGUGCGGCUGCGGCGCGGGGAUGUGUUUGCGAAUGCAAAGCAGUCACUCAGCGAGCCACCAGGGCUGGAGGCUAACUGCUGCUAAAUGGAGCAGCUGUUGGCUUCUGUUUUCCUCCAGCAGCUUAUCAGAGAUCAUCUCUUCAAUCACAGGCACUUAAAAAAUCUUUGACAAUCAAUUCAUAUUCUACUCUGCGCUGGGGAGAGAAGAAGCGCUAAUAAAAGACCUCCCGUGAUUGCUUCCCCAAUUUCCUUUGUAUGAGAUAAGUUUAGGCCCCAGUUCGUAAAGUACAACGUGCAGGACAUUAAGUUGUUGUUUUAUUCAAAAAAAAAAAAAAAAAAUGCUGCCAGCCCAUAAAGAAUUCAAUUUUGUGAUUCAUUAAACCUUUAUUCCGCGUCUCUAUAUCACACCCUUUGAAUGCAUAAUCCCAGACGGAGUCGGUUGGUAGAGAGAUAAUCCUAUUUUUAGCUUGGAGAAGCAUCCAUCCAGCGGCAGGGCGAGGCAGAGAUAUGAGAGCCCAGCGCUCAGCGCCGCUUCGGGAGAGAUUGUGCCGAGAAACAGGUGAGUUAGGGACGUGCCAAUUCCCCCAGCACCGCGCUGACCCCGGUGCACCCAGCGUCCCUGCGCGCCCACCUCUGCUUGCUGUCUGCUGGCACAGAGCCGCCUGUGCCUCCUGAUGGAUGGCGGGUGUAAAACCCUCCUGCUGAGCCAGGCGGGCUUUAUGGCUCCGUAACUCAUCCCCAGGGCCCCGCGGCGGUGACGGACGGCUCCAAGGCCACCGCGUGUCCCUGGUGGGAUGGAAGAGCCCGAGGAGUCUUCUGGGUGCAAAGGGCGCAAAUUCCGUGCCCCCCAUUUCUUCUCUGCAGGGUGAAGAGUGCUUUUGGGGGAUGCUUUGGCUUCAGAUAUCCAACUGUGUUUCCCCAGGAGAAGCUCUCGGAGCACUGUGGUCUGGCUCCGGCCCGAUCCCCAGCCCCCGGGUUGUGGGGAAGUCUGGGCAUGGAGCUGGAGGCCACCCCUGCCUAUUUCUGAGUCAAUGUGAGGAAGGCUUUUUGUUUACUAACAUUUCUGUUCCACUUUUACAGUUUUAAUCGCAAUACUAAUGAUCCAACCUGUACAUUUCCCAGCCCACCUGGAGACAGUGAGCAGAAGAAUGCCCUUUCCGUGGCCAUGUAUGCCAUCUCCCCAGUGAGUCUCCAAUGGGAAUUGGGGUUGGGGUGGUGCCUCUCCCCAGCACCCAACUGAGCCGGGGCUGCACCACCUGCAGACGGCUGGAAACAGGCCUGGGGGCCACACGAGGAGCACGUGGGCACCCGCAGCCAUCUCACAUCCCACUCAGGUCCCGCAGCUGCCACUGCACUGCCUGACCUUUCUCUGCCCGGGGACGUAGAGUGAUAACUCAGUGCUGCAUUGCCACCAGCGCCUUAAUUGGUCUCAUCUCGUGAACGAAGAUAAAGGUCGAUUCGGAGCUGAGUUCAACCAAUAUGUUCUCCAUAUGGACAAGAAAUGUUGCCUUUGUGUUACCCAUGUGCUGAAGUAGGCCUUUUUUUUUUCUUUCUUUUUUUUUUUUUUUUUUCCACGGGGUUUUAAACUUCAAUGUAGCUAAGCACCAGUCAUUAAAAAAUAGCUCCGGCUACGAGAAGAAGUUACGGUAUUUAUAGGCAGUUAAAAGAAAUCACUGCUUCCCAUUUAAUGCUCCGUCUCAGCAAAUCACUUCAGUACACGACGAAAUUGCAGCACAUGAUGGAUCCUCCCCGCGCUCGGCAGCAUGUGUGCUCCCUUUGAUAUCGGUGGGACCUGAGCGGCUUCUGAAGAUGGGAAGAGCCGCGUUUAUUGGCUUCAAAUGGGUGCUCGGUGCUGGGCUGCAUCAAGGCCAUUUUAUGGGCGCAAAAUUCGGAGAUAUUACAUCAAAGCUGAUGCUAUUUAUAAAGAGUCACAAGCCGCUUCUGACGAUGAGACAACUGCGGGAAGCGAUCAAAGGUUGGAGGGAGAGGUCCCAGCGCCGCGGGCAGAUGGGGGGGGGCUGGAGCCGUGUCCCACCCCGUCCCUACAGCCCUGAUUAUCUCUUAUCGGCUGCCAAUAUUGACACGGGUCCCAGACACCCGGCUCGAGGGCACCCUUGUUUAAAUAGUGGUGUUAAGGUGCUCAGGUGUCUGCUGUCCUUCCAGCGCCAGAUGCCGAAAACAAAGAAAGAAAGAAAAUGAAAGAAGAAGUAGCCCGAUCCCAUGAUGUUUUGAUUUUUUUGCAGGGCUGGUUUUGCUCCACCAGCCUGCUGUCUCGUUCUCAGAUCUUGCAGUCGUUCAUGUUUGAUGUGGUGAGGGCUGGGGGCUGUCUGAGUGGGGAGAGUGCAGGCGAAUCCCACAGGGCCCCACUGGGGGGGCUGCUUUGGAACCCUCAUCGUUCUCUGCCCGAGGACACGGGCACUGCAGCCAGCGGUGGGGACACCCCUUGGUCUCUCUGGAAGGGACCCCUCGCCCAGCCCUUUGCUAAGGCCAUGAGUGCAGUCCCCUGGAAACGCACUGCAGCACGAGCAGCGUUUCUCCUUUCACCCGGGUUCUGCGCAGGGAUCACAGCCCGGGGAGCACGAGGCUUUGGUGUGUGGGCUUCCAGCAGCUUUCAGAUCUGCUUUAGCAUUACCUGUGUUGAAGCAGGAAAUAAAUAAUGUAUGUGGGAAGCGCGGUAAUGUGUUGUGGCACCGAAACCCUGGAGAUGGCUGAAUAAUAAAUAAAAGCCUCUCCUUUUGUCAUGCCCGUGUCCUUGCUCCAGACCCUGUAGCCGCGUUGCUAACACUUGUGCUGUGUGGAUAAACGUGUUUUCUGCUUGACACGAGCUGCCCCCGAGCAGCAGCGUGGGGCUCCAUUGGGCGCAGCGGGGUCAGAAGGGAGACCUGGGGAUGGCAGCACUGCCCUGCUGUCCCCAUCGGGCUGCACUGCAUGACUGGUUGGUGCCUGUGAGAAUGGCCAAAACCCACAUUGGCCCCGCACAUCCUUGCUGCUGGCAGAGAGAAUCGAUGGGGCGGGAUUGCUUUGGGGCAGAGGGCAUCGAUCCCCUUCUCUCUGUGUGCUGCCAGGUGCCAGGCUGGGUCACUGGGUGCUGCUGGAAGCACACCUGUGCAACCUGGCAUGGCAUGCUGAGAAGCCCAGCCUGCAGCAGGAGCAGCUGCGGUGCA